rnacentral:lncRNA from 1 species
ACCACUAUGAUUUACAAGUCAGUGGUGGAGAGAUGAAAGAGGAGAAGCAGAAGGUGGUGGGCACAAUAAAGAGAGGCAGAACUGGAGACACGAGGGUCGUGAGGAACAGCCUGAUGUGAGUAGCUGGCAAAGUCACCAAGGCCAUGGAGAGGUCAGGCCCUGCAAUAGCAAAGAUCUGUUACCACCAAAGGCCAGGCACAUGUUCCAGGUCUGGGCUGCCACCCAGGUCAGUGUUGAUGUCUGAGGGCUGAUGGUUGAGCUGGCCCCACCCCUCACCACCUGCAGCAGGUGGGAGAGCUGAGAGCUGGCUCGGGGUCAUGAGAACAGAAGAACUGGACCAGCCUCUCAUUGGCUGCAACACUCAGGAUGAUCAGGCCCUGCACCACCACAUCUGGGCAACACAAAAGAACUGGCUCUGAUAGGUGCUGGAGAGUUGGCAGGCAAACCAGCUCAGCUACUACCCAGGCCCAGAUCCAGGGUUUUGAGUUGGCCCACCCCAACAUCUACCCAAUCUGUGAACUGCUGGAGCCUUUGAAGAGACCAGCCUUGCAGAUCCAAAGCUGCAGGAUCAAAGUUGUAUGACACAGGGCAACAACAGAGAAGAGUCCUGGGGAGGAUCCAGUAUUGAUAGUAUAGAGAAGCCAGAGACCUGGAACCAGACCAAUGACUCACUGCACUGAACAUUUGCAAGUGAAGAUGUGUGGACAGAAGGGUGUGCUGCAGGACACACUGGGACACACUACUGCUUCCACGAUGAGAUUUUAAUUUUUACUUUUUUUCUUUUUUGGGGGGGAGGUUGCAAGGGUGGGGCAAGAAGAUGAGUGCGAUUGAGGAGCAUGAUGUGAAAUCCACAAAGAAUCAGUAAAAAGUUAGAC